rnacentral:rRNA from 2 species
UAGGUGAACCUGCGGAGGGAUCAUUACCGAGUUUACAACUCCCAAACCCAAUGUGAACCAUACCAAACUGUUGCCUCGGCGGGGUCACGCCCCGGGUGCGUCGCAGCCCCGGAACCAGGCGCCCGCCGGAGGGACCAACCAAACUCUUUUCUGUAGUCCCCUCGCGGACGUUAUUUCUUACAGCUCUGAGCAAAAAUUCAAAAUGAAUCAAAACUUUCAACAACGGAUCUCUUGGUUCUGGCAUCGAUGAAGAACGCAGCGAAAUGCGAUAAGUAAUGUGAAUUGCAGAAUUCAGUGAAUCAUCGAAUCUUUGAACGCACAUUGCGCCCGCCAGUAUUCUGGCGGGCAUGCCUGUCCGAGCGUCAUUUCAACCCUCGAACCCCUCCGGGGGGUCGGCGUUGGGGACCUCGGGAGCCCCUAAGACGGGAUCCCGGCCCCGAAAUACAGUGGCGGUCUCGCCGCAGCCUCUCCUGCGCAGUAGUUUGCACAACUCGCACCGGGAGCGCGGCGCGUCCACGUCCGUAAAACACCCAACUUCUGAAAUGUUGACCUCGGAUCAGGUAGGAAUACCCGCUGAACUUAAGCAUAUCAAUAAGCGG